GACGAACCGUGCGAACGUUGUUCGGAAUCACUGGGCUUAAAGGGCGCGUAGGCGGGCAUUCAAGUCAGGGGUGAAAUCCUCCGGCUCAACCGGAGAACUGCCUUUGAUACUGGGUGCCUCGAGUGAGGUAGGGGCGUGCGGAACUGAUGGUGGAGCGGUGAAAUGUGUUGAUAUCAUCAGGAACUCCGGUGGCGAAAGCGGCGCGCUGGACCUUAACUGACGCUGAGGCGCGAAAGCCAGGGGAGCGAAC
rnacentral:rRNA from 1 species